rnacentral:rRNA from 1 species
UACGUAGGGGGCGAGCGUUGCUCGGAAUCACUGGGCGUAAAGCGCACGUAGGCGGCUUUUUAAGUCAGAGGUGAAAUCCUGGAGCUCAACUCCAGAACUGCCUUUGAUACUGGAGAGCUUGAGUCCGGGAGAGGUGAGUGGAACUGCGAGUGUAGAGGUGAAAUUCGUAGAUAUUCGCAAGAACACCAGUGGCGAAGGCGGCUCACUGGCCCGGUACUGACGCUGAGGUGCGAAAGCGUGGGGAGCAAACAGG